GACGAACGCUGGCGGCGUGCUUAACACAUGCAAGUCGAACGGAAAGGCCCUGCUUUUGUGGGGUGCUCGAGUGGCGAACGGGUGAGUAACACGUGAGUAACCUGCCCUUGACCUUGGGAUAACUUCAGGAAACUGGGGCUAAUACCGGAUAGGAGCUCCUGCUGCAUGGUGGGGGUUGGAAAGUUUCGGCGGUUGGGGAUGGACUCGCGGCUUAUCAGCUUGUUGGUGGGGUAGUGGCUUACCAAGGCUUUGACGGGUAGCCGGCCUGAGAGGGUGACCGGCCACAUUGGGACUGAGAUACGGCCCAGACUCCUACGGGAGGCAGCAGUGGGGAAUAUUGCACAAUGGGCGGAAGCCUGAUGCAGCAACGCCGCGUGCGGGAUGACGGCCUUCGGGUUGUAAACCGCUUUCGCCUGUGACGAAGCGUGAGUGACGGUAAUGGGUAAAGAAGCACCGGCUAACUACGU
rnacentral:rRNA from 1 species